AUGAAGCUAAAUAUCUCCUCCCCAGCCACUGGCUGACAGACACUCAUUGGAUUGGACAACGAAUGGCAAUUUUGUACUUAUGAGAAGCAUAUGGCACAGAGGUUGCUGCCGACGCUCUGGAAGAGUUAUGUGGUCCGAGUCAGUGGUGGGACCAACGAACAAGGUUUCCUCAUGAAGCAGUGUGUCCUGACCCAUGGCUGGGUCUGCCUACUGCUACUGAGUAGGGGCAUUCCUGUUAUAGACCAAGGAGAACUGGAGAAAGAAAGUGCGAAUCUGUUUGGGGUUUCAUUGUGCAUGCCAAUCUGAGCAUUCUCCAGUUGGUUAUCUUAAAAAAAAAAAAAAAAAGGAGGGAAGGAUACUCCUGGACUGACUGAUACUAUGGUGUCAUGUUGCUGGGGGCCCAAAAGAGCUAACAGAAAUGCAAACUUUUCAGUCUCUCUAAAGAAGACAAUGCCCCCCACCCAUAUGUUGCCAGAAAGCCCUUAAACAAAGAGAGUAAGAUACUGAGGACCAAAGCACCCAAGAUUCAGCAUCUUGUUACUCUACAUGUCCUGCAAUACAAACACUGGUAUUGCUCAGAAGAAACAGCAUACUAAGAAAAAUAAGAAAGAGCCACAAAAUAUGUUAAACUUUUGGCCAAGAGAAUGAAGGAGACUAAAGAAAAACUCCAGGAGCAGAUUACCAGAGACACAGGUUGUCCCCUCUGUAAGCUUCUACUUCUGAGUCUAGUCAAAAA
rnacentral:lncRNA from 1 species